rnacentral:rRNA from 1 species
UACGUAGGCAGCAAGCGUUUGUUCGGAAUUACUGGGCGUAAAGAGUGUGUAGGCGGUGUUCUAAGUUUGUCGUGAAAUCUCCCGGCUUAACUGGGAGGGUGCGGCGAAAACUGGAAUGCUAGAGGAUGGGAGAGGUAAGCGGAAUUCCUGGUGUAGCGGUGAAAUGCGUAGAUAUCAGGAGGGAACACCUGUGGUGUAGACAGCUUCUGGACCAUUUUCUGACGUGAGACACGAAAGCGUGGGGUAGCAAAACAGG